rnacentral:rRNA from 2 species
GGCGCAAGCCUGAUGGAGCAACACCGCGUGAGUGAAGAAGGGUUUCGGCUCGUAAAGCUCUGUUGUUGGAGAAGAACGUGCGUGAGAGUAACUGUUCACGCAGUGACGGUAUCCAACCAGAAAGUCACGGCUAACUACGUGCCAGCAGCCGCGGUAAUACGUAGGUGGCAAGCGUUAUCCGGAUUUAUUGGGCGUAAAGCGAGCGCAGGCGGUUGCUUAGGUCUGAUGUGAAAGCCUUCGGCUUAACCGAAGAAGGGCAUCGGAAACCGGGCGACUUGAGUGCAGAAGAGGACAGUGGAACUCCAUGUGUAGCGGUGGAAUGCGUAGAUAUAUGGAAGAACACCAGUGGCGAAGGCGGCUGUCUGGUCUGCAACUGACGCUGAGGCUCGAAAGCAUGGGUAGCGAACAGGAUUAGAUACCCUGGUAGUCCAUGCCGUAAACGAUGAGUGCUAGGUGUUGGAGGGUUUCCGCCCUUCAGUGCCGGAGCUAACGCAUUAAGCACUCCGCCUGGGGAGUACGACCGCAAGGUUGAAACUCAAGGGAAUUGACGGGGGCCCGCACAAGCGGUGGAGCAUGUGGUUUAAUUCGAAGCUACGCGAAGAACGUUACCAGGUCUUGACAUCUUGCGCUAACCUAAGAGAUUAGGCGUUCC